AUGUUCACAAAGCAAGUUUGGAGGCUGAUUGAAAAUUAUAACUCUCUUUGUGCAAAGGUCUUGAGAUCAGGGUACUAUCCCACGGGUGAUAUUCUAAACUGUGAGUUGAAAAAGGGCUCAUCUUUCAUAUGGCAAAGUAUAUGGGCGGGAAUUCAUACUUUCAAAAAGGGUAGUAUAUGGAGAGUUGGAGAUGGAGCAAAAAUAAAUAUUUGGGAUGAUUGUUGGAUUCCGAAUAGCUCUUCAAGGAAAAUAGUGACAGUUUGGGCGAAUCAAGUGCUUACUAGAGCACAUGAAUUAAAAGACCCAGUCUCCGAGGAAUGGGAUGAACUGCUUAUCGGUGAUAACUUUUGGCCUAUUGAUGUGGACCACAUUCUCCAAAUCCCAAUCCAUCACUAGGAGACGGAAGACUACAUCGCAUGGCACAUCACGAAGAAUGGCAUUUUUACGCUCAGCACAUUAUAA
rnacentral:rRNA from 1 species